rnacentral:rRNA from 1 species
AUGCCAGAUGUGACACGCCAGUGGUGGAAAUGGCAUGUGUUGAAGAAGCAUAAAGAGUUUCUUGGGCAUUUGUACACAAAGAGAAGCAAUUUCAGAGAUGAUUUCCACAAGAUAGGUCAUCACAUGAUGAUGGUUGAUGAGUUCAAGAAAGCAUGGGCAGACCUGAUGGAUGCAUACAGAUUGCAGAAGACCACAUACUCGACUCAGUUGCACGAAGUUAGGACCAAGUGGGAAAAGCCAGACUUCAAAGGUAAAUUUUGUGCCAAGAUGACGAGCACUCAACGAAGUGAGAGUGCUAAUCACAUGUCCCCGUGGGCUGCCUUAUGCAUCUGUUGGUUCGGAAGUACAUGA